UAUUGUGAAGUCUUUGUGCAUCUCUUUGUUUAUCUGUCAUUCUAUCCCUACACCGUGCGUGUACACACACACACACACACACACACACACACACACUCUUCAAGUUAACGGACUUAAAACAAAAACCAAGUGCUGUUGAUCAGCGCUGAUAAAAACCCUUGCCAGGGAGGAAGGGACCGGCGGCUCCUCAGGGGCGGAUGCCGUGAGAACCAGGUGGCGCAGCACAUCCCUCUGGGUCCUGUGUAGCCCGUGAUUUCAUCAGCCUGUGCAUUAAGCGGCAACACCGCACAAGGAAUCGAGCAAGCUGCCUGCCUUGUCAUUCCCGUCCUCUGAGGGGAGAGAGACGGUCCCGGUCCCUCGCUGGAGCCGAGGAGAGAGAGCAGCGAGCGGGUUCCUGACUCCGAGCCCCGUUUGUCCUCGUGCUGUGAAGCAUAAGCAUUUGUCAGGUUAGGCGAAGCCCCUGUGCCCGACCGCAAGCCACGGUGCUGUGAAGGAUUGUCUGAGUCUAGGUUCCUAAUGCAAAAUGCAGAAUGGGAAUUGAAACGUACUUGAUGGAAUUAAAACACGAGUAUUGGCUUUCAGUUCUUGCCUCCCUGGCUCCCGUAACAAAUGUAGGGCAUCUUAAAAAUAAAAGCCAACAAACCAAGAGAAAACAGCCAGACGCCUUUGCAAGACAGAGGAGGCACAAAACCUCUCUGCGAGACUUGAGAGUUGAUCUGCCCCAGUGUGAACUCUGGCAACUGUUUAUUCUCUAACUUGGACAUAUACUUUUCAUUUCUUUUAAGUAGAAUGCUUUUAUUGUUACUGCGGGUAUGGGAAGACACUGUGACAUGUCGAUAAAUGAAAUAAUCCCGAUUACCACGUUAAGCCACAUGUCGGGAAUUUUAGAAGGAAAAUGCCGUUAAGAAACCCAGUGUAGGG